CUUUACAUGAACAGAACACAGAACAAAUCCUGUAUGGAUAAGUCCUACAGCAGCGAGGGCAGUGGGCUACACUCCCAGAUCAGGAAGGUCCAUGGAACUGCAGAGUUUUAGAGGUAUGCAUUGGCUGUGAUCCUCAGCACUUGGAAAAGCACAAUACCCUGGAAAAGCACACCACCACAAUGCACAGCACUAGCCAGGCAACAUCCCAACUGGAGGGAUCUGAAAUGACCAGAUGUUCGAAAGGGCUGCCCAUGCUACAGUGACACAACCAGCUGGUAAGAGGAGGUGGCUUGAUAGAGACAUGCAGCAUUUCUGACUCAACACAUUUAUUCAUUUAUACAGGCUUCUCUUGUGUAUCAGCUCUUAGCUGUAGAGCUGAAUUUUGGGCUUCUUUUGCAUGCACAACUACCUGCUACUUACCACUGACUUCCGAAUACUAACACGCGGUUUGGGAAUAGGUUUGGAGGGUUUGUUUUCAAAGCUUUCUGGGAGGGUUGAAGAAUGGCCUCCUUUUCGUGCUUGUAGUGCAAGCUGAUAGGCCACUUCAAAUGCUUGUCCUAGCGUAAGAAUGAUUUCAUAAGCUAAAUUCUGGAACGAAACAAAGAACAGUUAAAAUUAGAGAGAGGUUUAAUUAUUGUCAGAUAGACGAACUGGGGCAGUUCUGUCUGCAGCAGCGACUCCUCAUGUAAACAAUUCAAAUCACAAUGGUAAUAACUUCCUCAGCCUCUGUAACAUUUACAUCUGUCAUUUGAUUUCUCAUUGAUUAAAAACAAUCUAAAUGUAA